rnacentral:rRNA from 2 species
UUGGGUUAAGUCCCGCAACGAGCGCAACCCUCAUUUUCAGUUGCCAUCAGGUUUGGCUGGGCACUCUGGAGAAACUGCCCGUGACAAGCGGGAGGAAGGCGGGGAUGACGUCAAGUCCUCAUGGCCCUUACGGGCUGGGCUACACACGUGCUACAAUGGCGGUGACAAUGGGCAGCGAAGGGGCGACCUGGAGCUAAUCCCCAAAAACCGUCUCAGUUCGGAUUGUACUCUGCAACUCGAGUGCAUGAAGGUGGAAUCGCUAGUAAUCGUGGAUCAGCAUGCCACGGUGAAUACGUUCCCGGGCCUUGUACACACCGCCCGUCACACCAUGGGAGUUGGUUUUACCCGAAGGUGGUGAGCUAACCCGCAAGGGAAGCAGCCAACCACGGUAAGGUCAGCGACUGGGGUGAAGUCGUAACAAAGUAGCCGAAUCCCGCGGCC